rnacentral:rRNA from 1 species
ACUGCGUUNUGAACUGGGUGACUAGAGUGUGUCAGAGGGAGGUAGAAUUCCACGUGUAGCAGUGAAAUGCGUAGAGAUGUGGAGGAAUACCGAUGGCGAAGGCAGCCUCCUGGGAUAACACUGACGUUCAUGCCCGAAAGCGUGGGUAGCAAACAGGAUUAGAUACCCUGGUAGUNCACGCCCUAAACGAUGUCGAUUAGCUGUUGGGCAGCAUGACUGCUUAGUAGCGAAGCUAACGCGUGAAAUCGACCGCCUGGGGAGUACGGUCGCAAGAUUAAAACUCAAAGGAAUUGACGGGGACCCGCACAAGCGGUGGAUGAUGUGGAUUAAUUCGAUGCAACGCGAAGAACCUUACCUGGUCUUGACAUGUACGGAACCCUCCAGAGACGGAGGGGUGCCUUCGGGAGCCGUAACACAGGUGCUGCAUGGCUGUCGUCAGCUCGUGUCGUGAGAUGUUGGGUUAAGUCCCGCAACGAGCGCAACCCUUGUCAUUAGUUGCCAUCAUUAAGUUGGGCACUCUAAUGAGACUGCCGGUGACAAGCCGGAGGAAGGUGGGGAUGACGUCAAGUCCUCAUGGCCCUUAUGACCAGGGCUUCACACGUCAUACAAUGGUCGGUACAGAGGGUAGCCAAGCCGCGAGGUGGAGCCAAUCUCACAAAACCGAUCGUAGUCCGGAUUGCACUCUGCAACUCGAGUGCAUGAAGUCGGAAUCGCUA